GUUAGGUGAGGUGACUCACGCCUGUAAUCCCAGCAGCUCAGGAGACUGAGGCAGGAGGAUCACAAGUUCAAAGACAGCCUCACCAAAAAAACGGGGCUAAGAUUUAAGCAAGUCAGUGAGUCCCUGUCUCUA
rnacentral:sRNA from 1 species